UUUAUGGAGAGUUUGAUCCUGGCUCAGGAUGAACGCUGGCGGCGUGCCUAAUACAUGCAAGUCGAGCGAACAGAUAAGGAGCUUGCUCCUUUGACGUUAGCGGCGGACGGGUGAGUAACACGUGGGUAACCUACCUAUAAGACUGGAAUAACUCCGGGAAACCGGGGCUAAUGCCGGAUAACAUGUUGAACCGCAUGGUUCUACAGUGAAAGACGGUCUUGCUGUCACUUAUAGAUGGACCCGCGCCGUAUUAGCUAGUUGGUGGGGUAACGGCCUACCAAGGCGACGAUACGUAGCCGACCUGAGAGGGUGAUCGGCCACACUGGAACUGAGACACGGUCCAGACUCCUACGGGAGGCAGCAGUAGGGAAUCUUCCGCAAUGGGCGAAAGCCUGACGGAGCAACGCCGCGUGAGUGAUGAAGGUCUUCGGAUCGUAAAGCUCUGUUGUUAGGGAAGAACAAAUGUGUAAGUAACUGUGCACAUCUUGACGGUACCUAACCAGAAAGCCACGGCUAACUACGUGCCAGCAGCCGCGGUAAUACGUAGGUGGCAAGCGUUAUCCGGAAUUAUUGGGCGUAAAGCGCGCGUAGGCGGUUUUUUAAGUCUGAUGUGAAAGCCCACGGCUCAACCGUGGAGGGUCAUUGGAAACUGGAAAGCUUGUGCAGAAGAGGAAAGUGGAAUUCCAUGUGUAGCGGUGAAAUGCGCAGAGAUAUGGAGGAACACCAGUGGCGAAGGCGGCUUUCUGGUCUGCAACUGACGCUGAUGUGCGAAAGCGUGGGGAUCAAACAGGAUUAGAUACCNUGGUAGUCACCGCCGUAAACGAUGWGUGCUAAGUGUUAGGGGGUUUCYGCCCSUUAGGGCUGCACCKACACGCAUUAAGCACUCCGCCUGGGGAGUACGGUCGCAAGACUGAAACUCAAAGGAUGACGGGGACCCGCACAAGCGGUGGAGCAUGUGGUUUAAUUCGAAGCAACCCGAAGAACCUUACCAAACUUGACAUCCUUUGACCGCUCUAGAGAUAGAGUUUUCCUCUUCGGAGGACAAAGYGACACGUGGGGYAWGGUGGUGGCCUGSGCGUGUCGYGAGAUGUUKUGUUUAGUACCUCAACCASCGAACCCCUUGMGAGUUAGUAGCCAUCAUKCMGGUGGGCAYUCUAAGUKGACUGCCGGYCACCRGAGKAACGGAGGGAYGMCGAGAUWCCMUCAGGMYSSUUGGRAAUUGKUCAUAAAACGUAAAAGAAUGARCAAGCCAAAGGGCGAGRAAWCCGAGASGUSAAGSAAMGCCAAAAGRAGUUGUUGAUCGUUCGGUUUGGMAUSUGCAACYCGACUCCAWRCAGCUGAAAKCGCCAGCAAGGGUAAAACAGYAUUCUCCGGCUGAGUACGUUCCCGGACGGGGAGGUUUGGCACCUCGAUGUCGGCUCAUCGCAUCCUGG
rfam:Staphylococcus pseudintermedius strain 063228, complete genome.